CCUACGGGGAGCUGCAGUGAGGAAUAUUGGUCAAUGGCCGGAAGGCUGAACCAGCCAUGCCGCGUGAAGGUCAGUGCCCUAUGGGCGUUAAACUUCUUUUGUGCGGGAGCAAUAAUGGUCACGUGUGGCCAGACGAGAGUACCGUACGAAUAAGCAUCGGCUAACUCCGUGCCAGCAGCCGCGGUAAUACGGGGGAUGCAAGCGUUAUCCGGAUUUAUUGGGUUUAAAGGGUACGUAGGCUGGGAGGUAAGUCAGCGGUGAAAUGCCCCCGCUCAACGGGGUGAAGUGCCAUUGAUACUGCCUGGCUGGAAUGCGGAUGCCGUGGGAGGAAUGUGUGGUGUAGCGGUGAAAUGCAUAGAUAUCACACAGAACACCGAUUGCGAAGGCAUCUCACGAAUCCGCGAUUGACGCUGAUGCACGAAAGCGUGGGUAUCAAACAGGAUUAGAUACCCCUGUAGUC
rnacentral:rRNA from 1 species